ensembl:lncRNA
AUGCUAAUGAAGGAGUUGGGGUUGUGGAUAUUUACGUUCAUCGGGAGCCGCCCUUCAUUCACCACAUGGUUAAAAGCUGAGCGCGUUCGCGGCACUUUCGCAAUUUUACUACGGUUUUGUAACGCAACCCAGCGCGUGCUCGGAUGCUGUAUUUCCACCGUCGGCGCUAGAAGUUUACCGUUUAGUUUCGACGAUUUGCCCGGAGCGUUGACAGUGAACGGUUGGGAUCAGCCGCAAUGCUCUGCGCUGGAAGUAUUGCACUUGUCCCGGCCUGUGAAGAGCACGGGAAAUUGUCCAGCUGUUUUUGUGUUCUUUAAUAAAAUGUUAACGUGUGUAUGUAUGUGUGUGUAUAUAAUAUUUUGUUCCCUCCGUCUUGUAUGUUAAAAUUUGAUCAUCUCAAUAAAAGUUUUAAAUGCAUAUUUGCUUGUGAAGUUGUAUUUUAAUAUUUCAAGCUGUAGAACGGUUGAAUUUUUCCUUGUAAAGUGUUUUUUUUGUUUGUUUUUUUUGUUUGUUUUUUUUUUUUACUGUAAUGGUAUUACAAGAUCUGUUUUUGUAUUAAAACAUGACCAGUAUUAAGUUUAUUAUAGGUUAAUGGGAUUUAUUGGGUUAAAUGUUUAGUGGAUUCAUAUCACAUGCUACCAAAGUUUGACUUUUUUUUUUUUCUCCACAUUUUAGAAUAAUAGUAAUAGUUUGAAAAGUAGAUUUGAAAAUUAUCUAAAAAAAAAAAAUAACUUAAUUGUUUUGCAUUGAUACAUGGCCCUUUAGUUUGAGAGAAACAUGUAAGUGUCAGUGUUUGAUUAGUUGUUCAAACUUAAAUUCAUUCAAUGUUAGAUUUUUUUAUUAUUAUUAUUGUAUAUAUCAAAUGUUUUUGCACAUUAUUUUUUUCUGAAUACUUUAAUAUUGGAGUUCCGUAAUAGCCGCCUUUUUAAAUCUAUAAAAGCCUUUUUUUUUUUUUUUUGGUCAAACAUGCAGGUAACUGUUUGAACACUAGAUGGCCGUAUUGUAUUUGGAAUAAUCUAGAAUGACUCGUUCAUGUUUAGUAUUUGUUUGACGACUUUGUGAAAACACACGCUUUUAUUAGUCUAUAUAAAGAUAUUAAACUCAUCCGAAUCCUUUGCUUUAGCAGAAGCACCUGCUUUAACCAUUUAAAAUAAAUGAUUUCUAAAUUAUUUUCGUGAAGUUGCGUUUACGAGUGUUUUCAUUAAUGUUCACUUUUAUGUCCUGGGUUUAACACCCUUUAAUGUCAAAUGUAAAAUCUAAGUAGUCUUCAGUAGGCCUACUUGGAGUGAAAUUUUUGAAUAAAGUUAACGAGACAGUGAAGAAUGCUUAAAAAAAAUGUAGCCCAAUUAGGCCUAUCACUUUUGAACAUUUGAAAGUUUUAAUUCACAUUGGUCAAAUGUUGCAUAAAGUGUUAAAAUAUAUUUAGAUAAGAUACUAGCUAUUAAAUCAGAAAUCCUAAAGUUUAAUGUGAAUCGUUUUAGCAAAGCAAACUAUAUAGGCUUAUUUGUGAUGUGAAAGUGAUAUUUGAUGGUUCAGAUAUAAAUGGUGUUUUUCUGGUUAUGCAUGUAUAUCCACUGUUUCUGAGAGCAGAUGAUGCAUGAUCAUUGUUAUCAGAGACCUCAAACUUGUGUUGACGCUAAAGUGUGUUUGUAAAAGAUAUGAACCAGGUUUAGGACUGAUGUGCAUAGGUUGUACUAUAAGAGGACUUUGAACCUGUGUGUGGAGCUCAUCCUCCAAUUUUAUCAUAUGUGAUGGAGUUGUGCAAUAGUGACUACAAACCACAUCCAUUCAUCUGCAGCAUCUCUGACUCUCAUAAACUUAUUAAAAUAUAUUGCAGUAAAAAUCCAUCUGUCUGAAUAACAGAAAGGCCUGUGCAUCCAUCAAACUGUAUCCUCCAUAUUUCAGUCAUUUAAAACUUUCAGACAAGACUUUACCUUUCAAGGCUUACUUGACUUUUUUAUGUUUUGCCUUUGUGACUUCUGGAAGGUCUGUUUUAAUGCAUUGGACAUUAAAAUUUAAAGUUUUGCUAUAGUCAGACUUUUAAGAUUCCAUGCUUGAGAUAAAAUAUUUUAAGCAAGGUUAAUUGUCAUUUCACAUUAAUUUUAACAACUUUUCUGAAUAUUGCCUUAAAUGAAAACUUUUUGCAUUUAUAUGAUCGAUUAAGUAUAGCUUUUUGCUCACUGUUUACAGCUGUUCUAGUUUAUUUUCAGGAAGCAGAGCUUCACUUCAGUCCUUCGCUGGGUCUGUCUGUAAUUAUGAUUUAACUACAGAUAAACAGAAGUAACGAUGCCCAUCAUAUGAUUUUUGAUCUAGAAUGGGAGUGCAAUAAAUCUGACUAAAAUAUUUUGGUAAAAUAUUUACAUCCAAAAGUGAAAGAACUUCAAAUCUGUUCCCCCAUUCAAAACAGCAGCAUACACUGCAGAAUAAAGAUUGACAGAUUUUCUUAUUUUAAAACAGAGCCAUUGUUUGUGCAGUAAACCACUGUUUAAUAAAAGAAAAAAUAAAUUAUCCUGCUGUACCAAAAAAACAUACCAAUCCAUGGAUUCAAAACCAAAGAAAUUUGUUUCCUUGAUGGAAUAAAAAUAUUUUUUUGAAAAAAGUAUUUGUGGCUUUAUCUCACAAUAUUGACUUGUUUAUUUAUAAUUGCGAGUUAUAAACUCGUUUACAUCUCUCAAUAUACUUUUUGAGUUUGCAUCUCGAAAUUUGAUAUUUUAUCUCAGACAUUAAUCUCAAAAUUCUAAAUUUUUUCAUCUGAAUUAUUAGUAUACAUCUAAGAAUAUAAAGUUUUUUCUUAAAAUUGAGUUUAAUUCUAACUUUUUAUCUCAGAAUUUUUAGUUUGCUUCUUAAAAUUAACUUUUUUUUUUUCCUAAAAUUGAGUUUGCAUCUUUAAUUUCUGUUGUUUUUUUGUUUUUUUUUUUUUUUGUUUGUUUUUUUUGUUUUUUUUGUUUUUGUUUUCUAAGAAUUCUGAAUUUGCAUCUUUAAAUUGACAUUUUUCCCCCCAGGUUUUGAGUUAGCAUUUUUAAAUUCUGACUCUUUCUCAGAAUUUUGACACUUCUUGCAAAAAAAAAAAAAAGUUACAGUUACCUCUUCUUUUUUAUUUCAUGGGGAAAAUACACUUCCAUGGGCCACAACAUGGACCAGCACCAGUGUGAAAUCAGACAGUAUAUAAUGUGACAGGAGCCGAUGGGAACCUGAUCCUGAGUGUCUACUCAUUAUUCAUCUAAAUC